GACCUAAUACAUGCAAGUCGAGACGGAAAGGCCUCUUCGGAGGUACUCGAGCGGCGGACGGCUGAGUAACGCGUAGGAACGUACCCCAAAGUGAGGGAUAACUGCUCGAAAGAGUAGCUAAUACCGCAUGUGGUCUAAGGAUUAAAGCUUCGGCGCUUUGGGAACGGCCUGCGUAAGAUUAGCUUGUUGGUGAGGUAACGGCUCACCAAGGCGACGAUCUUUAGCUGGUCUGAGAGGAUGAUCAGCCAGACUGGGACUGAGAACGGCCCAGACUCCUACGGGAGGCAGCAGUAGGGAAUUUUCCACAAUGGGCGAAAGCCUGAUGGAGCAACGCCGCGUGCAGGAUGAAUGCCUUCGGGUUGUAAACUGCUUUUAUAUGUGACGAUUAUGACGGUAGCAUAUGAAUAAGGAUCGGCUAAUUCCGUG
rnacentral:rRNA from 1 species